UGAAUAGUGGGCAAAGUAUCCAGAUA
rnacentral:piRNA from 1 species